rnacentral:misc_RNA from 1 species
CGCGUGUAUAUGAUAACCUCACCUAGCGAAUAAUACAUGAAUAUUCUUUUCCUAAAUUCAAAAUGUUAAAAAUGUCAGAAUUGAAUCAAAUAAUCUUUGCAAACUUAUUAACAAAUCAUGAUUACCUGUUUUGAUAAUCUUUUUCUCUUCAAAUGAAAUCACAGACAUUACACUUCUUUUUUCUAUUUCGAUCAAAAUUUUAAAAGGUAAGAAUUCUAACAGAAAGCACCAUCUAACGGAUGUCGACUUAUCGACGAGAAGUAUAACGGUAGCUACAAUAUUCUUUAGCCAAGCUCGAGACACGACAAGGUCGGCAAACAUCAUUAUCUAGAAAAUCUGUCAACGGGUUGGAGUGUAGACGAAAUAUCCCACGGGGUAUGAUGCCGCGUCGACUCGUUAAGGAAUCCAUGUCCGGAACUUGGUUAAAGGCUAGAGGCCGCACAAGUGGACGAGUAGGUAAUCCCGAAGGGUUAAGGUUUACGUCGACCGACCGUGGAGAGAUCGAGACGACAAAUUGGGGAUGCCCGUGCGGGGCAGUGCUUCCCCCGUGCACUUACAAGGGAGGCCUCUCUUCUGAAGGGUCAACAAGAGUGAAGUAUUAUUUUUUGUUUUAUUUUGUAUUUUCAUUUUUUUUUAUUUUUCCUAUUUUAGAUUUUUAUAAUUAUAAUUUCAUCUAUA